UUGUCAACAGAAACAUGAAAUAAUUUAUUCCUGACAAGAUCAACAAAGCAGUUCUUUUUAUAUUAAGCUAAAGUGAAUAUAUACUUGAAAAUAAUAAUAUAUCUUCUUUGUAUGUGAAAUUCAGAUUUUAAAAAUCAUGAAAAGGACUCUCCAGUGUAGAAAUAUCACUCUGGAAGUUCCUUUGUCAUCAGGCACUAUUUCUACUAUAGCUAUGAGUUAUCAAGCUAAAUCUGAAUGUUUUAUCAUUCAUCUUUUUAUAACACCUUCUCCAGAAUAAUCCUGUUUCAUGUCUUUAACACUAACUUCAAGCAAUUUCCACUUUUAUUUCCAAUUGUCAGAUUUUGUUUUCGAAUUCUCACUGAAGUUUCGAAGUAUUGUACAUAUGAAGGAGGGUUACAGUGCGGAUACACUUUGCAGGGUGAAGACAUCACUACCCCAUCCUUUCCCCCAGCCCUAAAAAAAGUUUAUUGACAGAUCCAAAGCUAAAUUCAAUUGGCUUAUUUUGUUAUUUCAAAUAGCUGUGGAAGCUGUUUCUUCAGAAUUAAAAUGUUUAAAUUACAGAAGUACUUUUCUGAACUUUAAUCUGAUAGUGAAUUUGGAAGAUUAUAUAUUUACAAUAAUGAUCAUUUCACUUUUUGUAAUAUGUAAUACCUAGAGCUCAUAUUUACUUAGUGUGAGCUGUGUUUUGAGCCUUUUUCUGUUUUGCCUUGUUUUCUUGGCAUUGCACAUUGCUGUAUAUGUUAGGUUAUCCUGGUCCUCUCUCAGCAGACAACUCCCCUGUAGAUCACUCAUUCUCUCUGAGAAUCAGGCCAAGGAGGUUCUUGCUACAGGGUCAUGGUUGGGUAACAUUUCUGAGCUAUGUGAAAUUGAUGAUUUUAUGGGUCAAAAGGACCAAAUGUUAGCAAGUUCAUAGAAUAUAUUCAAGAAGCAACCAAACAAAAGAUCUUUUAGAAUAGUCAUCCUAAGCUCUCAUCCUAGCUCUGUUUAUCAGCCUAUCGGGCUUUAUGAAGGAGACUCUACAGGGAACCACAGUCUUCUCAAGACAAUUCUACUUCAUCCUACUGCUUAAAUUCUCUAGUUUUCCAAGAUAUUUUAUCAUAUUAAAGCAAAACCUUUGGGACAUAAGUUACAUAACCCUUUCAUUAACUCGCUGUGUAGUUUUCAACUGUGAGAUGUUAUUGCAGUAAUCAAAAGUACAUAGUAGAAUAUAAAUAUCAC
rnacentral:lncRNA from 1 species